GGGGUGCUGGGCAGGUCUGGGGUCCAGGGCCUGAGGCCAACAUCUGCAGAGGUUGAGGGGCUGUGAGCAGAGUGGCCUGGAAGAUGGAGAAUGAGGGGGAGCCACAACCACAGUUCUGAGCAAGGGAGCUAAAGGACCCCUCCUCCAGCCAGGAGCCCCGCGGCCGUCUCGAGUUCAACAACCAGGCCAUGCAUUGGACUCAGAAACCCAGCAGUCGUCAAUUGCUCUAUGCCCACCUCCCUGCAUAGCUGCGUAGGUUAAAGUCGUGAAGGUAGAACCGCCCACGGAGGGCUGCGUGAUGCAUCUCGGGCUGGGUGAGCCUGGCUUCCCAAUUAUCACCGACAAGCCUCCCCCGCCCACUCACUGCCGAGCAUCCAGUACUGGAUGCGGCUGUCUGCAUGGGACCUGGAACCAGAGAGAGAGAAAGAGAGAGACAAGCAUUUGCUUUAGGGCUAGCCUGGGAAGAGCUUGGUGUGCAUCGGACCUGGGACCCAUGCUGUGCUCCCUCCCAGCGCCUGGGGCCCUCUGCUUUCAGUCAUCUCCACCUCCGUAUGGACCCAACUGAGGUUUGGGAAGGAACGGAAUGCUGGUCGGGAGUGUGGGUCCGAGUGUAGACACUUUUGGAGAGAAUCAGCAGCAGGGCCAAGUGAAGGACCCCUUCCCCUGACCCGACCCACCCUCGCUCAUCGGAGAGACCCAGCUGCAGACAUGAAGGCCAGAACCUGCCCCUCUUCUGAUUUCAAAUUUUCCAGUAGCCUCACAAAAUAAAGAAAAUGUAAGUAAAA